CACUGGAAAGCUGGUUUUACCGUGGCCCUAUGAAGAGGAAGACUGAAAUUUAGACAGUAAUACCUUUACUAGGAUUGGAAAAGAUUUGGUUAAUGACAGCCCUGUCAUUUCUAAAACCCAUUAUCACUGUAUGAGAGAUUCCUUUGCGCUGCAUCCUCGACAGUGCUUCCUAAGGCUCUGCCGACUUCCAGUUCUGGAACAAGAUGGUUAAACUCAUUUUUCCCUGCUCUGCUCCUCUAAAUACAACUAAGUACCUUGGAAACUAUUCAGCAGACAAUGAUAAAGGGCUCUGAAAGCUAGAAGAAAAGGUGUACUUGCAAGAAACCUCAGGACUUGAGUAACAGCAACAUGGCAGGCCAGAAAGCAGACCCAGGGAGGAUAGCACAUGUCUUCGGCUACACUGGUGAAGGCAUCGUGCCUGCUCCACAGCACAUUUUUAUUCAAGUCUUGGACGAGCCUGAGGAUGUCUACAAGUGGAAGAAAAGAAGCCACUGGAGCAGAAGGUGGGGAGGAUAAAAUUUGGAGCAAGAUUCUCAAGGAAGCAACAAGAUCCUAAGCUCACCAAGCUCCUGUAUCUACUGGAAAAUGGAAGUCCAGCCUUACCAACUUGUGAACCUUGUCUGAAGGGAGCCAGGGCCUGCCAAUGGAACCACCUCCAGGAGCUGCAACUGCUGUUGUCAUUAAUACCAUUGUGUCUAUUUUUUGAGAGAGAUAAACUUUUCAUGGUGUUACAUUUUGGAAAAAAAAAAAAAAGACUAGGUGAACAGUCAGGUAGGAAAGCAGCAUAACAGUCCCUUAAAUUCUGAUCAUGUAGGACAUUCUUCUUUGCCCUGGGCCUGGGAAAAUGCAGCAUGUUCCAGAGCAAAAGUCCUAAUGAGGGGAACUAAACCAGUGGGACCCAAACCAAUGUCCUGGCUCACUGAGGACCCGUUAGAACCAAAUCUCUGGGUGUGGACAGGCUCCCAUACUUUUCAAAAAUUCCCCUGAUGACUAAUGAACAACCAGAGGUAAGAACCAGUGGCCCAGAGGAAUAACCAGCCCAGCUGUUGUACGAGCUCGCUAAGCUGGCUCAGGUCAAUGUUGAAUUCUCUGCUAGGCAGCUCCUCAUAAGAACUGGCAGAGAUGGUUCUUACACAACAACAGGUGACAACUCCAGACUCUGCCGGAAGUUCCAGGAUCUGGGUUCCCGGACAAUGCAUGACACUCAGUCCAGCAUUGCAGGUGGAAGAGCGACGGUGAAAAGACCAAAGUCAAUUAAAAUGUGUUAACCAAAACAGGAAACAUGAGUGAGGUGAUUGAGAGUGUGUUUAACUUAGAUGUGUGAUUUUAUCAAUACUUUCAUUGUUCAAAAACUCUUAUUUUUUAAAGAUAUUUUCAAAACAAA
rnacentral:lncRNA from 1 species